rnacentral:rRNA from 1 species
UGGGGAAUUUUGGACAAUGGGCGAAAGCCUGAUCCAGCAAUGCCGCGUGUGUGAAGAAGGCCUUCGGGUUGUAAAGCACUUUUGUCCGGAAAGAAAUCCUUGGCUCUAAUACAGUCGGGGGAUGACGGUACCGGAAGAAUAAGCACCGGCUAACUACGUGCCAGCAGCCGCGGUAAUACGUAGGGUGCAAGCGUUAAUCGGAAUUACUGGGCGUAAAGCGUGCGCAGGCGGUUUGCUAAGACCGAUGUGAAAUCCCCGGGCUCAACCUGGGAACUGCAUUGGUGACUGGCAGGCUAGAGUAUGGCAGAGGGGGGUAGAAUUCCACGUGUAGCAGUGAAAUGCGUAGAGAUGUGGAGGAAUACCGAUGGCGAAGGCAGCCCCCUGGGCCAAUACUGACGCUCAUGCACGAAAGCGUGGGGAGCAAACAGGAUUAGAUACCCUGGUAGUCCACGCCCUAAACGAUGUCAACUAGUUGUUGGGGAUUCAUUCCUUAGUAACGUAGCUAACGCGUGAAGUUGACCGCCUGGGGAGUACGGUCGCAAGAUUAAAACUUAAAUGAAUUGACGGGGUCAUA